UUUUUCUCCAAACCCUAAAGGAGAGCGUGCAUCCUUCUUCUGUCGGCGAUUAACAUCUCUCUUCGCUGUGACCUAAAUUCAUCUUCUUGAUUAUCUCAACAAGAUCCAAGAAUUGAAGAGUGGAUCAAUCUUUAUUUGUAAUUGAAACCCUAACUUUCAAAAAGCGAUUCUGAUUCCAUCGAUCUUGCCUAAAUCCCAUUCACGAUUUCUGAUUCAAGGUUUCUUUUCUAAACAAUUUUGAAAAUCGAAGGCAAUAUCUAAUCUCUCUAAUCGGAUCUUCUUCCGCUAUUGAAGGGCUUGAAGGACUAUUCAUUUGAUGGUGUCUAAACGUGGAAUGCUUUUUGGUCGGACAACUGAGAUGUCGAUAGAAGCAAAGGAAAGAGUCUUUUAGCCUUCAGACAGUUAACAAGAAACUAUCUACUAUGAACAAGUUAUUAUUAGAGAAAAACGAUCGCCUGCAAAAAUAAGUGGCUCAGCUUGUGUGUGAAUGGAUAUAUGCGCCAACAGUUGAAGGUCUGCAUGCAUUGAUUGACCAAACCGAGACUGGGUGAACAGGUUUGGUAAUGCUGGCGACACUGCUCUAGAGAUAGUUGGAACAACUGCUUUCCGGUAACGUAGAGGCGGUUAAUAUGAUAAAUGAGAAUAAAGGGCGUAAGCAUGCUAGCCCUUUGGCAAUUUGUGUUGGUGAUGUGAAGGACUGGCAUAUUGUUGUUACGGACCAUUUGCAUGUUGGCUUGGUUGAGGGUCUUCUUCCUAGGUCGGUGACUGUGGUGCUAUAACACGAGGUACACAAACCCUGGCCGCUAGAGUAAAUGAUGAAGACUGCACUUCUUUAGAUUCAAAGAAAUCGGAACGAUUCAGGACGAUGAAAGAUGGUCUAAUUGAGGGACGAUUUGGGACCACAAAAGAUGGCCAAAUUAGGUCGUGGAAGGAAGGGAAACAGCAUAAUUCUCAUCAAAAGGCAUGUUUAUUUCUUUUGUUUUAUUUUUCAUGGUAUUGAGCAUAGUAGAAUUAUUAACUACUGGGAAUGAAACAAAUAAAAUAUCAACGAUGACAUGUUUUUACGUACUUCAGUUUCGUCAUUGUCAAAUUACUUAUGCUAUUUCUAUCACACACAUAAACACGGUCUCUCCAUCUGUUGGUAUAUAGUUAAUUUGGUGGUUGUUACUUGAAUGACCUAUUAACUUUGAAAAGGUAUUGUUUGCUCAUAGCUUUGUUUGAUUUUAGGAGUGAUCUGCAACCAUACGCACAAAUCGUAGUUUAGUUUAGACAAGAAAAAAGAUGGGCAUGCAACUUAAAAUGAGUUGGACGAAAAUUCAAAAGAGUGAAUUUCUCAAUUCCUUUUCGGGACAAGAACGUAAUCCAAUGAUUAACCCGUUUGACAUGUUCUAUGUUUUUCAUUUGACCAUUCGAGAUAGAACACGUCCAAAUUUAACUUAAUGAUUCUUAAAUGGAUGUAAAUUGCCACCUCUACCUAUGACAAUGAUGUUGAAAUGUUACUUAUCAGCAGUUCUGGUUAGAUGUAUCAGGUAUCGUUGACCCUUUAGCCUUGCUGGAGAAGAUAACAAAGAAUGGAAUAUCACAAGAUGUUUGUGUAAAUGAUUUGGAACCGUCUGCAUUUGAGCGUUUCCUCUGAAAAGAUUAGAACAACGCAUAAUUGUUGCAUGCCGUGAAAAAUAUGAUGUUUUUAUGUCUUGAAGGAACCAAGAAUUCAUAAUAAUUUGUCAAUAGUGAGUUCAUCAUACUCUUAACGAAUCGGUUUGUGGUUAGUUGAAUGAUUUGCUUCUUUAUAUCUAUUAUUGUUUGUUUUCUUCUUGAAUCAUUGAAUUUUGCUCAGUUCUAUUUUUUUAAUUUUGAUAUAGUGAUCGUGGAACACUAACUUAAGAUAUGUUUGAUGAAUGAAAGUGUAUGGUUUAUCUGACUCGAUUUAUCGUUCUUCGUAUGGUGUAGAUCUUAAGUUUUUUGAUUGAACAUUUGUUGGUUAUGCUUUGUGUGUUUAGUAGUAAGGAUUAGAGUCAUCCAUAGUAUUAAGUAACUGAUAUUAUAUUGUUAUGCUUAUCGAAUCUGUUGGUUUGCUUAUUUAUUCAUUUGAUUUUGGUUUAGGAAAUUGAAGUUAUAAGAAUUUGAAGCCGAAGGCGGUUUAUACUUUGCAUUUGAUAAAAUAUUAAAUAUUAACUGUUAUGAUCCACGAUAUUUACAUCUCUGACUGGUUGCGUCGAGCAGGUUACAAGUGUGCUAUUUGCAACGCCAAGUGAAAUAAUCAAUCUAGAACAAACCCAUGCAGGUACGUUGUUAAAUUAAAGUAUUUUUUUUCAAACACGGGUGACCAUGGAUCGGUUUGGUUUGGUUAUGGGUUAAAAGGGAAACUAUAACUGGUGUUUUGUAUAAAAUAAAUAAGUUGAGAUGGGUGGGUCUAUUGCAGAUGUUGUUGUGUCUAUUGGUGCGUGGCUCUUUGGCUUUUUGAGGAUGUUGUUGUGUCUAUUGGUGAGCACCUCUUUGGCUUUUUGAGGAUGAAACGGGUCAAACCAUUAAAAAAAAAAGAAACUACACAUGGAACAAGUAGAAUGUGUCUGAUGAAUCGAAAGUCACUCAGUCUAUUUUAAUGCUUACAACUUUCUUAAUCAUUUUAUUACAAAAUUAGGUUUUUAUUAUAGAAAUUUUCAAUCAUAUUUUAAGGCGUUAACCAUAUAUAAAAGGACUUCAAUGGACAAAAAAAUUGGGCAGCAGGUUAACCCAAUCCGACCUUUUUAUAUCUCGAAACCUGUUUCACAUUUUGCGAACUCUCGGUGCUGACCGAUGUGUACUAAUUCUCUUUCUUAUGCGCAAAUGUUCAAAUAUCAUGUGUUCCAAUAAUAGGUAGCCGAGAAGAUACUGAAUGGAAAGGAGUUGGAGUUCUAGGAAUGGGAUGGAGUUCUACAAAAUAGUUCUACUUUUUAGUAUCUGUUUGUUCUUGACUUCUUGCCUUAUAUUACGGCAGUUUGCUUUACUCACUUAUUCUCGAACAAAGUUGCAAAUUCUAUGCUUCCUUGCCACCUCUGCCUGGUUUAAAGCGAUUCCCUUUGAAGACAACAAGCUCCAUGAUGAAGAUUUAAACAUGGAGAUGGCAUGUUGUGGCAGUUUAAAAGUUAUCUUUCUCUAUUAAAUGAUGAAGAGAGUGGUAAAACUUUAAAUCAUAUAAAAGUUUCAUCAUUUCGGUAUGUUUUUAAUUCACUUAGCUAUAAAAUGGGUUGAAAUAGCCAUCUAGAGAGUACUCCGGCACUGUUUUGCUACUAUUUUAGCAGCUGGCGCAGAAUGAUUUUUGGUCGAGAAAGGAGCUGCAAAACAACUAUGUAAAGACUUAUAAAUAAUAUACAUAAGGGGAAGCUGGUUUCUUAGCGUUUAAGGCGGUUUAUUGCCGUUGCUUUGUUUUAUCUUCGCUCGCCAAGUUUGCUUCAUAUAAAACAUAUGUGAAUAAGUAUUUUCAGGAUAUAUGUUCGUCAUGUUUGUAAUGUAGCUUUUAAAUCUUCUUACUUUUUUUUUGUGUAUUUUAAGGUAUUCACAUCACUAUACAUGGUGGCACUAGCAAGCGGGGGAGUCAAGGUAUGUAUCUUAGUCGAGUAGAUCAAUUUGAUGACAAUGAUAUGGCUUAUAAAAAGGUCAAGAUUUUUUUUAAUUGGUAUAUUAAAGUGUAUAGCCGUUUGACGACUUGUGAUUUUUUCGUAUUACUUUUUCUUUAGUUCAUUGUAAUUUAAUAUUUACAUAAGUAAUGAAACGUUUCUUUCGUUUCAAAGUUUAUGUCAA